GACGAACGCUGGCGGCGUGCCUAAUACAUGCAAGUCGAACGGUUUAGUUCCAAGAUGCUUGCCUUUUGGAACUAGACAGUGUCGGACGGGUGAGUAACACGUAUGCAACCUACCUGUCAAACCGGGAUAACCUCGGGAAACCGAAGCUAAACCCGGAUAAGCUCCUUUUUCUCAUGAAGGGGGAGUGAAAAGGUGCGACCUGAUGACAUAUGGGCUUGCGGCGCGUUAGCUAGUAGGUAGGGUAACGGCCUACCUAGGCGAAGAUGCGUAGCCGACCUGAGAGGGGGUACGGGCACACUGGGACUGGGACACGGCCCAGACUCCUACGGGAGGCAGCAGUAGGGCAUCUUCGGCCAUGGGUGAAAGCCUGACCGGGCAACGCCGUGUGAGUGAGGAAGGCCUUCGGGUUGUAAAACUCUGUUGUUUGGGAAGAAGGGAAAGGGUAGGAUCCUUCGGUGACGGUACCAAACGAGAAAGCCCCGGCUAACUACGUG
rnacentral:rRNA from 1 species